rnacentral:rRNA from 1 species
AGGGAAUCUUCCACAAUGGACGCAAGUCUGAUGGAGCAACGCCGCGUGAGUGAAGAAGGCUUUCGGGUCGUAAAACUCUGUUAUUGAAGAGGAACGUGUGUGACAGUAACUGGUCAUGCAGUGACGGUAUUCAAUCAGAAAGUCACGGCUAACUACGUGCCAGCAGCCGCGGUAAUACGUAGGUGGCAAGCGUUGUCCGGAUUUAUUGGGCGUAAAGCGAGUGCAGGCGGUCUUUUAAGUCUGAUGUGAAAGCCUUCGGCUUAACCGAAGAAGGGCAUCGGAAACUGGGAGACUUGAGUGCAGAAGAGGAGAGUGGAACUCCAUGUGUAGCGGUGAAAUGCGUAGAUAUAUGGAAGAACACCAGUGGCGAAGGCGGCUCUCUGGUCUGUAACUGACGCUGAGGCUCGAAAGCGUGGGUAGCAAACAGGAUUAGA